GAUGAACGCUGGCGGCGUGCUUAACACAUGCAAGUCGAACGAAGCACUUUAUUUGAUUUCCUUCGGGACUGAUUAUUUUGUGACUGAGUGGCGGACGGGUGAGUAACGCGUGGGUAACCUGCCUUGUACAGGGGGAUAACAGUUGGAAACGGCUGCUAAUACCGCAUAAGCGCACAGCAUCGCAUGAUGCAGUGUGAAAAACUCCGGUGGUAUAAGAAGGACCCGCGUUGGAUUAGCUAGUUGGUGAGGUAGCGGCCCACCAAGGCGACGAUCCAUAGCCGACCUGAGAGGGUGACCGGCCACAUUGGGACUGAGACACGGCCCAAACUCCUACGGGAGGCAGCAGUGGGGAAUAUUGCACAAUGGGCGAAAGCCUGAUGCAGCGACGCCGCGUGAGCGAAGAAGUAUUUCGGUAUGUAAAGCUCUAUCAGCAGGGAAGAUAAUGACGGUACCUGACUAAGAAGCACCGGCUAAAUACGUG
rnacentral:rRNA from 1 species